rnacentral:rRNA from 1 species
CGGUUGAUCCUGCCGGACCCUACUGCUAUCGGGGUGGGACUAAAACAUGCAAGUCGAGCGUCUCCUAACCAUGGUGGAGGCGCGGCGUACAGCUCAGUAACACGUGGCUAACCUACCCUUGGGACGGGAACACCCCCGGGAAACCACGCACAGACCUUGACGACAUAAACACAAAUUCUCAAAAAUCCACAAACCUCAUAACAUAAACAAACACUUCACUACACCGCCUUGCCGAUUUCUAAGCUGGCAAAGGCUAUCUCAAACUAACCAAAACCCACACACAACCUUCUAAGAAUAAAAACUUAAGGCUCUGGCGUAGCCCAAAACUGGGGUUAAUUCUCGAUGGGUGAGGAGGCCUGGAAUGGUUCUUCACUGAAAGGGUGUUAGAGGCAUGCUCUCUAACGUUGCCCAGGGAUGGGGCCGCGGCCGAUCAGGUUGUUGGUGAGGUAACGGCUUACCAAGCCUAUAACCGGUACGGGCCGUGAGAGCGGAAGCCCGGAGAUGGGCACUGAGAUAAGGGCCCAGGCCCUACGGGGCGCAGCAGUUGCGAAAACUCCGCAAUGCACGAAAGUGUGACGGGGCUACCCCGAGUGCCGUCCGCUGAGGAUGGCUUUUCUCCGCUGUAAGGAGGCGGAGGAAUAAGGAGAGGGCAAGACUGGUGUCGGCCGCCGCGGUAAUACCAGCUCUCCGAGUGGUAGGGGUGAUUAUUGGGCUUAAAGCGUCCGUAGCCCGGCCUGGCAAGUCUUCCGUUAAAUCCAGCAACCUAAUUGUUGGGCUGCGGGAGAUACUGUUAGGC